AUUGAACGCUGGCGGCAUGCCUUACACAUGCAAGUCGAACGGUAACAGGUUAAGCUGACGAGUGGCGAACGGGAGAGUAAUGUAUCGGAACGUGACCAGGCGUGCGGGAUAAUUGCUCGAAAGAACAGCUAAUACAGCAUACGACCUGAGGGUGAAAGCGGGGGAUCGCAAGACCCCGCGCGAUUGGACCGUCCGAUAUCAGAUUAGGUAGUUGGUGAGGUAAAGGCUCACCAAGCCGACGAUCUGUAGCUGGCCUGAGAGGACGACCAGCCACACUGGGACUGAGACACGGCCCAGACUUCUACGGGAGGCAGCAGUGGGGAAUUUUGGACAAUGGGCGCAAGCCUGAUCCAGCCAUGCCGCGUGCGGGAAGAAGGCCUUCGGGUUGUAAAACGCUUUUGUCAGGGAAGAAAAGGUUCUGGCUAAUACCUGGGACUCAUGACGGUACCUGAAGAAUAAGCACCGGCUAACUACGUG
rnacentral:rRNA from 1 species